CUCAGGCAUAGCGGGCAGAGAAAUGUCCUUCGAGAAAUGUCGAGUCCUUCACCUCUUCCUCUCCCUCAAUCGAUCUGUUCUCCAUCCGUCCUCCCCGGGGUCACCCUCCGUCUCUCACGUGCUGCUCCCCAACCGUGGCUUGCCCACGCGGGACGCCCACGCAGCUCCAGCACCGAGGUGCCGCACAGGUCGCGCGGCGAUGGCCAGCGAUGGAUAGAACAUAUGCCAGGGCUUCAAGUCCUCCCGAUUUCGCGGUGGUGCCAAUGGCAUAGCAGUAGGGUCGGCCGCAGUGACAGUCGGUGGCCGACGACUGGACCAAAGCCACCCGCUUCGUGCAUUCACGUUUGUCUGGUGGAUGUGACCGCCUGUGCUGCGCAAACCAGAGCGCCACCAAGCCGUUCUUGAGCUGCCACCCGCUGGAGCCCGAUACCGCGUGCAUCUGCCAGGAGAAGGCCGGAUCCAAACUAGCGAUGGUCAUGACGACGGCGUGGUGGGGAGUGACGAAGGGAAGCUGCAUCGCUCAAGCAAGUUCAGUCAUGGGACUGCGUCAAGGUGAGCACGCUGCUGGCACCUUGAGCCUCUCCGGCACACCACAAUCACCGGCAUGAACACAACCUGUUCGACUGAAUGCUUCAGAGGCUUAUUUAUUUCCCCUUGUGCAUGAAAGAAAUCCAUGCGAAAUAGAACAUCUUGAGUAGGAACACGCACGACAGAAAAUUAUCCCUCAAUUACAUAGAACGGACCUGCAGUUCCAUUUAUGCUAUGCCAAUGAGUUAUUCUUCUCUGCUCUACUUUAACAUUAUUUUAUACAUGUACAUAAUGUGAUGAUUGAAUUGGAUAGGUCGAGUUGCCUUCUCUUGUGUGAGAUAUAUUUGUGUUUGGUUAUAUACUGCUUUGGAAAUAGUAUAUGCACAGGAUUUCGUAUGAUCUUGCCAUGUCACUGGAGGUGUUCUAGGGGAUGGUACAACACAGAGCCCAACGAGGAGAAAGUCGAGGUGUGUUCACCCUGGCGCGUGAAACAUCCUUGCUAGCGAGCAGCAGUAAAGCUACGGAGGACUUGUGUUUCACAAUAGCUAAGAGCAUGAAAGAGCCUAGGGAACCGAUACGGAUAACAAAAAGGAGGCAGCGGCCAUUAGAAACCUGAGAAUGAUAGUUACAUUGCUGCUCAAUCCCCAUGCUACUUCGCCCAAUUUCAGUUCUUUCAAUUAAAUAAUCAGCCUUGACAUGGCAAAUAAAUAACCAAAAAUCUAUGUACCUUAUUGCUAUCAUCCUUGAACUGCUAUGCUGAUUAAUUUUAUUAUCAAUACGAAUGCCCUUCUCUUAAAUUUAGCUCUUUCCAUAUUUAGUCUCCAGACUGUUAUUUUUACAGAAACUGUUACAUCUUUGUAAACGAUGAGAUGUUCUUUUUAUAAUUACUGUUACCAAGUCCUUAGCAUGUGACGCUAGCACAAGGGCACUGAGUAUUAUUGCAUUUUCUUUUCUUUUUUGCAUGUCCCACUGAAUUUGAUUUAAGUUAAACAAUUCUAUAAAUUGUUCAUGCAUUGGUACAGCAACAUUUUCUCAGGCGCUAAGAACAUUAUGCCAGUGUCAAUAUGUUUAGAGCAGCAUGUUGGGGCAGCACUUUGUAAGAACGGAGAUUGUUAGCUAUUAUCAUAAUACGGUCCUAUAUGAAUAAGAAAAAUGCACAUAGAGGAAUUGGGUCCUUUAUUUUUUGAACUUUGUAGAUUAAUUUUAUAUUUGGGUUUGAUUCUGAUUAUUAUUUGGCCAAUUAGACACAUGAUAAUCAUGUAGAAAGUACCCAAUUUAUAUCUCCUCCCGAGCGUUUUCCUUUAUUUUCCGGUCGCUGAGAAAUCCCCGUGUCCCCCACAUGGGUGCUAGCCAAGUGCGGGGGCUAGCAGCAUCAUCCUUCUCAGUGCGCGGUGAGUCUUCUUCUCUUCUUCGAUGUUACUGCCUUUCCAUUGAUUGCAAAGAUACUACUGCCUCAUCCCGCCCCAACAGGCAGCAAAGGAGACCUCUGAAGCAGCGUAUAUAAAGGUUUAUAUUACUAAUGAUAUAAUAGAGAUAUGAUAGCAGCAGUGCCUACAAUGGAAGUGAUUAUCUAGCUUUGGAAGUACGGGAUUUUCCAAGGGUGAAAAUCAAACGAUAGAGACUAAGCAUCAAAAUAGCCUUUUGAAUACAAUUGAUCGUCGUGUACUCUGUCGCCAUCAAAAUAGCCUUUUGCAUCAAGAAUUAUACAGUCAAAGAUACGAGGGAUGGGGCAUCCAUAUAAUGAAAGUGAUCAGUCAAUAAAUACUGCUUAAUACCCAAGUUUUUUUUUAUUUACUAGCAUGGCAUCUUCCUAUUUCACAGUUAAAAUCUACGAAAGGAAAAUUCAGGAGAGAAGUCUCGGUUGAUAUGUAAUAAAAAAAGGAGAAAUAACUAACAUAAUAUUUUUGUCUACAUAUAAAUCAUACAUUUGAUAAAUUUGCAGUCUUAUCUAAUCAAAGUGGUGGCUACUGCAGCUAAUACGAUAAUGUACAAAGGCCUCUGUUAUGUUUCACAUACCUGUUACAUUGUCCUCCUGUUGCCAGUGACUGCUAAUUUAGCUUUUUUUUAACCAUGUUGGCCCUUGGCUCCUUUAAACAUGAUGGAAUGAUAGUCCUUGGCUCCUUUAAA